AUAGAUUGUGAGAAAUAUUAAAAACCUCCUACUAGACCUAAAAUUCUAUUUUCUGAGACCUUGAUCCACUUAAACCUCAAUAAUCCUCAAUUAAACUAUUAGAUUGAGCUCAAAUUCGCAAAACCUAUUAAACACAACUAUUACCAUAAAUCCACAAAAUUUCACCCAUUGAUCUAUCACAAAACUCUUGAAAUCAUCCAAAACAUAAACUAUGUUUUAUUUCAUAAAACCCAAGUCAUUCGAAACAAACCUUGACUUUGCAAAGCUCUUACAAAGUCAUAACAACUCCAAAUCACCGAAAAUCAAUGCCCAUAGAAAUCCUAUCC
rnacentral:lncRNA from 1 species